AAACCUUUGGAUUUAUCGAAGUCUUUGUGAUAUGUAAGUUAGGAAAGGUGUAUGCUAACCGAGGAAAUCGACCUUCUUUCUCAAGUUUCCACUGAUCUCGAGUUCUCGUAAACGUCUCUGAGGUUCGCAUAAACCAAGGCAAACAUGAAGAAUAUCUUUCAUUUCAUUUAUAAAAUAACAACCGUGCGAAGAAGAUAAAUUUAAAACAAAUGUUUUAAUUCUUUCCUGUAACGUGUAUAGAUGAUUGAUUUGUAAGUUCUCUUUGAUUGAUUUAA